rnacentral:RNase_P_RNA from 1 species
AGCAGGCCAGACGAUCGCUGGGAAUUCUAAUUCCUGGAGGAAAGUCCGAACACCACAGGGCAGGGUGCUCCGUAACACGGAGUCACGGCGACGUGAAGGAAAGUGCAACAGAGAGCAGACCGCCCUGCCGACCCGGCAGGGUAAGGGUGAAACGGUGCGGUAAGAGCGCACCAGUUCUCCGGGUGACCGGAGAAGCUUGGUAAACCCCACCCGGUGCAAGACCAAAUAGGGGAACGUUUGAGGGCGGCCCGCCCAAGUUCCCGGGUAGGUCGCACGAGGCAUCAGGCAACUGCUGCCCAAGAUGAAUGAUCGUCAUCCGAAACGGGGUAACCUUUUUCGGAAACAGAAUUCGGCUUACGGGCUGCUUC